AUUGAACGCUGGCGGCAGGCUUAACACAUGCAAGUCGAGCGAGCGGCGGACGGGUGAGCAUUGCAUGGGAAACUGCUUGACGGAGGGGGAUAACUACUGGAAACGGUAGCUAUUACUGCACACCCUUAGCUGUGUUUUGAUGGGUUUAGCUAGGAGGUGGGGUAUUGGCUCACCUAGUCGACGAUCCCUAGCUGGUCUGAGAGGAUGACCAGCCACACUGGAGCGGAGAGACGGUCCAGACUCCUGCGGGAGGCAGCAGUGGGGAGUGUUACACGAUGGGCGCAGGCCUGAUGCGGCCAUGCCGCGUGUGUGAAGAAGGCCUUCGGGUUGUGACGCACUGUCGUCGAGGAGGCGUUACUCGCAGAAGAAGCACCGGCUAACUCCGUGCCAGCAGCCGCGGUAAUUC
rnacentral:rRNA from 1 species